ACCCGCUGAACUUAAGCAUAUCAAUAAGCGGAGGAAAAGAAACCAACAGGGAUUACCUCAGUAACGGCGAGUGAAGCGGUAACAGCUCAAAUUUGAAAUCUGGCCUCACGGUCCGAGUUGUAAUUUGUAGAGGAUGCUUCGAGCAUGGUCUGGCCUAAGUUCCUUGGAACAGGACGUCAUAGAGGGUGAGAAUCCCGUAUGCGGCCAGGUGCCUACGCUCAUGUGAAGCUCCUUCGACGAGUCGAGUUGUUUGGGAAUGCAGCUCAAAAUGGGUGGUAAAUUUCAUCUAAAGCUAAAUAUUGGCCAGAGACCGAUAGCGCACAAGUAGAGUGAUCGAAAGAUGAAAAGCACUUUGGAAAGAGAGUUAAACAGUACAUGAAAUUGUUGAAAGGGAAGCGCUUGCAACCAGACUUGCGCGCGGCCGAUCAUCCGGUGUUCUCACCGGUGCACUCGGCCGUGCUCAGGCCAGCAUCGGUUUUGGCGGCUGGAUAAAGGCCCUAGGAAUGUAGCUCCUCUCGGGGAGUGUUAUAGCCUAGGGUGCAAUGCAGCCUGCUGGGACCGAGGACCGCGCUUCGGCUAGGAUGCUGGCGUAAUGGUUGUAAGCGGCCCGUCUUGAAACACGG
rnacentral:rRNA from 1 species